rnacentral:rRNA from 1 species
GACGAACGCUGGCGGCGUGCCUAAUACAUGCAAGUCGAGCGGGCCUCCGGAGGUGCUUGCACCUCCGGAAGGCCGGCGGCGGACGGGUGAGUAACACGUGGGCAACCUGCCUUUGAGGCCGGGAUAACACCGGGAAACCGGUGCUAAUACCGGAUGCGUCCCCUUUCGCGCCUGCGAGAGGGGAGAAAGACGGUCUUUAAGGCCGUCGCUCAAAGAGGGGCCCGCGGCGCAUUAGCUGGUUGGUGGGGUAAGGGCCUACCAAGGCGACGAUGCGGUGCCGAGCGGAGAGGGUGAUCGGCCACACUGGGACUGGGACACGGCCAAGACUCCGGCGGGAGGCAGCAGUAGGGAAUCAUCCGCAAUGGGCGAAAGCCUGACGGUGCAACGCCGCGUGAGUGAGGAAGGUUUUCGGAUCGUAAAGCUCUGUUGUGAGGGAAGAACAGCUUCCGGAGGAAAUGCCGGAGGUUUGCCGGUACCUCACCAGAAAGCCCCGGCUAACUACGUGCCAGCCGCCGCCGUAA